rnacentral:lncRNA from 1 species
AUCUCCACCAUCUUCCUUCAAGCACGUGGACCGACACCCAGGCCUCCUGGUGUCCUGACACUGCAGACUCCUGGAAUAUACCUCCACCAGCAGGCAGGAAUCUGUCCUAUUCCCAGCAACCACUAGAGGCACUGCCUGACCCUACUGCGGCCACAAGCAGAGGGACCCCAGGAUUCUCAAAUCUGUUACCUUGUCUCACCUCCCCUAGGAAGCAGAAGAGUGCUAUGAAAAUCUUUAGCUGCUGAUCACAGCUAUAAACGAGAUGAGGAGGGUCCCUGUCCUCUUGGUGUUUCCAGUCUCCCAAAGAAGACAGACAUGAAACAAUGAUGGUUACAGUUCAAGAUGGAGGUACUAUCUGAGCUUAUGGCAAGGGGUUUUAAUCUCAUCCAAAGGGCCAAGGAAUGCCUCUUUAAAGAAGAGAGAACAAAUAAAAAUCAUUCAUAAUUCCAUCACCUAUAAAUAA